UCGAGAAUUUUUCACAAUGGGCGCAAGCCUGAUGGAGCGACGCCGCGUGGGGGAUGAAUGGCUUCGGCCCGUAAACCCCUGUCAUUUGCGAUCAAACCUUGCUAUUUAAAAGAUGGCGAGCUGAUAGUAGCGAAAGAGGAAGGGACGGCUAACUCUGUGCCAGCAGCCGCGGUAAUACAGAGGUCCCAAGCGUUGUUCGGAUUCACUGGGCGUAAAGGGUGCGUAGGUGGUGGGGUAAGUCGGAUGUGAAAUCUCGGAGCUCAACUCCGAAAUGGCAUUGGAAACUACCCUGCUAGAGGGUCGGAAAAAAGACUGGAAUUCUCGGUGUAGCAGUGAAAUGCGUAGAUAUCGAGAGGAACACCAGUGGCGAAGGCGAGUCCCUGGACGACUCCUGACACUGAGGCACGAAAGCUAGAGGAGCAAACA
rnacentral:rRNA from 1 species